GUUGAGGUAGCAAAGAGUUAAUGCAAAAGGCCUAAGCCCUUUUACCGUAGGUUAGAAUCCUACUCUUAAUA
rnacentral:tRNA from 2 species